GUCCACGCCCUAAACGAUGGACACUAGGUGUGGGAGGUAUCGACCCCUCCCGUGCCGCAGCUAACGCAUUAAGUGUCCCGCCUGGGGAGUACGGUAGCAAGAUUAAAACUCAAAGGAAUUGACGGGGGCCCGCACAAGCGGUGGAGCAUGUGGUUUAAUUCGACGCAACGCGAAGAACCUUACCUGGGCUUGACAUCCCUGGAACCCCUAUGAAAAUAGGGGGUGCCUAGCAAUAGGAGCCAGGAGACAGGUGCUGCAUGGCUGUCGU
rnacentral:rRNA from 1 species